rnacentral:rRNA from 1 species
CUCGUAGUUGAACCUUGGGCCUGGCUGGCCGGUCCGCCUCACCGCGUGUACUGGUCCGGCCGGGCCUUUCCCUCUGUGGAACCCCAUGCCCUUCACUGGGUGUGGCGGGGAAACAGGACUUUUACUGUGAAAAAAUUAGAGUGCUCCAGGCAGGCCUAUGCUCGAAUACAUUAGCAUGGAAUAAUAGAAUAGGACGUGUGGUUCUAUUUUGUUGGUUUCUAGGACCGCCGUAAUGAUUAAUAGGGACAGUCGGGGGCAUCAGUAUUCAAUUGUCAGAGGUGAAAUUCUUGGAUUUAUUGAAGACUAACUACUGCGAAAGCAUUUGCCAAGGAUGUUUUCAUUAAUCAGGAACGAAAGUUAGGGGAUCGAAGACGAUCAGAUACCGUCGUAGUCUUAACCAUAAACUAUGCCGACUAGGGAUCGGACGGUGUUAUUUUUUGACCCGUUCGGCACCUUACGAGAAAUCAAAGUGCUUGGGCUCCAGGGGGAGUAUGGUCGCAAGGCUGAAACUUAAAGAAAUUGACGGAAGGGCACCACCAGGGGUGGAGCCUGCGGCUUAAUUUGACUCAACACGGGGAAACUCACCAGGUCCAGACACAAUAAGGAUUGACAGAUUGAGAG